CAUGACUUCUUUACUGUCUUUUCUCCAAUCAGUAUUUCAGUAUCUAUCUAUGACUAUCUAUCUAUGACAUCCAUCUAUCUAUGACUCAAUCCUGGGCUGAACUAUAUACUCGACACAUAGAUUCUGCAAUUAAUAUUCUGCUGUAUUUGGUUUUUGUACAUAUCUAUCUACGCUUGUAUACAUCCAUCAAUCCAUCUUAUUUUUUGAUGCUUUUCAAAUAAGUGGCAGACAUCAGUACUCUUCACCCCUAUGGUGAAUUUUGAUAAAUGCAUACACUCAUUAUCCCUGAAGGUGUCCUUAGGCCCCUUUCCAGUUAAGUCUACCCCCAACCCCCAAGGUGAACACUAUUCUGAUUUUUUCCCACCAUAGAUUAGUUUUGCCUGUUUUAGAACUUCAUAUAAAUGAAAUUGUACCUGGUGUAAUCUUUUGUGUCCAGCUUCUUUCAUUAGCAAAAUAUUUUCGAGUACCUGUGUUGUUAUAAGGGUCCUCAUUUUAAAACGAAUAAUUUGACAAGAUCUUUGCAAACUGAUCUUUACUUUAAAAUUUUGGACUUCCCUGAUGUGUAUAUAAAUACAGUAACCACCUUUAAAUUAAAUAGCCUAAAUACAGUAACCACUUGAAUUAAGCCUCUGAAACAGACAUCUCUCUCAUGUGUCUGUCAGACCUUGUCUUUUUGUUUUCAUGCUCCCCACAUCCCCCUACCUUGUUUAGCAUUGACAAAUAUUUCAAAACUGCAGAAGGAAUUUAUCAUAUUUGUCUCAUGGGCACAGAGCUUUUGAUUUACUGUGUUCAGUAAGAUGCAGGGGGCUAACCAAGCUCUUAGGAUUAACUGCAUCUGACUUUCCUUCAAAAGGUCAUCAGCAGUACAUCCUUAGUAGGCCUCACAAUAGUGUGUCCACACUACGGGUUAGUGGGAGUGAUUGAAAGGCCUGGCGAGUUGUCCUUCUGGGUUUGCUCUGGUUGGGCGAUCAGAAUCCAUAGUACUGCGUGGGAAAACAUGAAAGAAAAUAAGUGAAAGUGACAUGUUCCUCCAGAAUAGCUAAAGGUCAGCGCUCACCCCAUUCAACCACUGUAUUCCCUAGACUUAGCAUGAGGCGGUUGUUUCUAAAAAUCAAAGCCACACUUAGCGUGGUAAUGUGGCUUUGUACCAUGUCAAACUAGCUAAGCGGGAACUACGUUUCCCAGAAUUCCCUUGCCUGUAGGUUUCCGGGGUGAGCACAGGCCACGUGACCUGAUGCGUGCUUCGUGAGGCGGAAGUGAGGCAGCUUUGUCGUCUCGUAGGCUUGAAAGUUUAGUUCCAGGAUCCACACUCCUCCACCAUAGUCAGGAGAUUCAGGGAAAGCUGGCAGGGUUCAGCUUUCAAGUUGACCCUUGAUGAACCAUGGCCAAUCCUGUUAAGAGUCAUGAAAGCCAAUCCUAGCCAAUGAAACGGGGGAGAAAUCACCGAAGAACUUGUGGAAAACAGACCUUCUGGAUAAAGAGACACGUAUGGGGAAAAAGGGGCUUUUUUAUGUUAUUCUGGAUGUUUCCCAAAAGUACUGCUGCUGCCUUGCCUCCCUGACAGACGCUGGCCUUAGGAUGACAUGCGGCAGGAAGGAAGGACAGAUCUGGGGUUUUUCAAGACUUACUGAGAUGCGCAAGGAACCAACCCUCGAGUAGCCAACUCGUUCCUGUUUGCAUGUGUCAGCUGAAAAGAAUGAAAAUAAACAAAAUAUAACUUUAUUUCUAAGAGGUUACAACUUGCAGGCAGGAAGCAGGCUUCUACCUGAGGCCAUAAAGCAUACUUUGAACGAGAAAAGGUAGGUGUUUAUGCUAGGUGGAGAGGUAGGAUAUAUGUAUUCUGUUGCAUACAGGAGAAACCUAUGAAAAUUCAUGGAGGAAACUCGUUAGAGACACGCACUGGGCUUACAUAUGAGGAAUAUCCAAAAGCGGACCAUCUAUGUUCACUCUGGGGUGAAGAUUUAACAUUUAAAUGUAUUAUAAUUAGGCUAUAAAUGCAAAAAAGUGAAACAUAGGGCACAAGUUCACGAUCUGUGCAAUCUCCGGAGACCAGUCUGAUCUAGCCUGCAGCCGGCAGUCAUCUGUCAAGAAGGGGCUCUUUGUAGCCAAGAGUAGCUGUCAGGUUGGAACCAUGAAACCAAAAGGAAGGCAUUGGCGGUUAGGUGAAGAGAAGAAGUCUUUUGGCCUUUUUUUCCUCUUCAAGUCAGCUUUUGAUAAGAUCUAGUAAUAAUAAGGGGAUGGGUGUGGCUGCAGGUGGGACAUGUCUGUUCUCUGUCCUGUCACAGCUAAGAGCUAAGAACUUCAGAGUCUUUCAGCCAUAGAUGGUCCUGUUAUCCAUUGAAGGGAUCAGUCCAUUGGGAUUUUGCCAGUUUUAGCAUUGAUCCUGUGUCCUGGGAAACCCCUCAAUACUUAGCAGAAAGUUAGCCACUCUAGCCCUACCUCAGGACCUCUUUUAUGGGAAAGAAUAAUUCCCUUAACUGCUUGAGCCAUUUGAGUUGUGGCUGCUUUUGGUACUUGUAAUUGAAAGCAUCUUGAAUGUUCUGGGACAGUAAAAGAAUGUGCCUUUGUUUCUGACAGCAAUUAUAAAAUCAAUUAUAUGUUUAUAUUCUAAAAAAUGUUUUGAGUAAUGCCAACAUCAUUGGAAAAGUGCAUCACUUAGAAUAUGUAUCUGUGUGUCAAUUUUGUUUGUUCAAAAUCAGUUUCAUUAAUUUAUGGGAAGAUACACCUUGUACAUUUUACCUAAUUUAAAAAAAUGUUGCCAGUUGAGCAUACUUGUGAUAUAUUCAAAGAUAAAUAAACGUUUUCAAUUUUAGAUAUUCA